rnacentral:miRNA from 1 species
CUUUCCUGCGAAGCUGGAGCACAAAAGCCGGUGCCGGUGCUGGUGUGAUGCCUACACCGACUUCUGUGCUCCGGCUUUGGAAGGAAGGA